UGAGCCGUUAGAUAAAAUUCAGUGCGCCCCGGUCGUGCCACCGCGCGUAAUUCCAGCGCCCCCACGAGGGCAUUUUCGUCAUUUCACCUGGUGGGAGAAAUGCCCAAUAGCGCUGAGGUGAGUCCGUGGACAGCGAGCACCGGAUCGUUCCCCUCCCCCUCCCGCUCGCUCGCUCUCCUCUCCUCCCCGCCCCCUCCCUCGAAACCCUAGCCGCCGCUACCCAUCGCGCCCUACAGCGCCGCCGCUCUCGCGACGCCGUCACUGCUCUCCUCUCCCUCUCUCCGACCCGAGCCGCCGCCCUCCUCUGCGUCUCCGACCUCCUCCCCAUGGGAUUGCAACAGAGCCCCCCAGCAAUGACGACGAGCAGUAGCGGAGGGAGGACGAGGAGCACGACGGCGGCGGCGGGGAGCAGCAGCAGCAGGCCAAGGCGGAGCUGCCCUUCUCCGCCAUGUGUGUGCAGAUCUCCCGCAACACCUACCCCAACCUCCGCGCCCUCCGCAACGCCUCCCACGUCGAUCUCACCGAUGCCCCACAUGUCAAGAUCUCCGAGGGCGACUUCGGACACAUCCUUGACGACGUGCCCCACCUCGCUGACUACUACGUUCCGGUGAGCAGCCCCCCUCCCCCUAACCUGCUCCUCCUCACUCGACCGCGAGUCAUGGUUCGCUGUGACCUGCGGGUGCCAUCGUUUCAGCUCGUGGUGAUUGGUUUUGUGCGGUGUAGCUUUAGCUAAGCGACUGUCAGUACGAGCGAAAUGAUCCGACGCUGAUUUGGCUGGAAACGUGACCGCGAUGUGUGCGGGGUUUGGUUGAUUUGGGAUUUCUGUUGUUGAGCCACGAAUACAGAGUGCUUAAUGUCAUCUCAAUUUUUCUUACGUUCCAGCUCCACUAUUAGUGUUGUUAAGCUGCUGAGAAUAGAAAGCAAUGUAGCAGGAAUACAGAAGUUGAGGUUUUCAUUGCUUUGGUCAUACAGUUUUUUAAACUAUAUACUAGAAGAACAGGGUACUCAUUCCUGCCUUCUAAGAAACUAUGUAAUUGACUGCUCAUGUUGGUUGUAAUACAUUGCUAGACACAGAGUUGUACAUUUUUCAGUUAGGUUUUUGCAAAUCAAACUAUAUUCAACAAGGCAUCUCUCCUUUUGAAACACGAACACUCAACCAGGGUGACCCAUUGCAGUUCAGAGAUGGUUUAUAUGAAUUGUUUAUGAUCUAGGCCGCUACCAAACGCCUCUGGAGAGCAGUAUACUAUUUCUGAAUUUACCAACACAUAUGGAGUAUUGGUUCUCCUGAUCCUAACUUCACAUUAGAUGGCCACUCAAAAGGCGUGAACCGUGUUGAUUACUUCACCGGUGGUGAUCGACCAUUUUUUAUUACUGGAUCUGAUGAUCAGACUGCAAAGGUUUGAGAUUACCAAACCAAGAGAUGUGUUCAAACACUUGAAGGACAUGCACACAAUGUGUCUGCUGUCUGUUUCCAUCUAGAACUACCUAUUAUAAUUACUGGCUCAGAGGAUGGCACAGUUCGCUUGUGGCACUCUACAACCUACAGGCUUGAGAACACUCUUCAUUAUGGUCUUGAGCGAGUUUGGGCUUUAGGAUACAUGUAGGGGUCAAGAAGGUCUAUCGUUAGUUUAGCUGCUACGUCGGAUCUGAUGCUGUUUUCGCCGAUAUAUAGAUUUGUUUGUUGCCUCUUGUUUCACGUUCUUCCGGUCGAUCGCUUGCUCGAUCUGUGCCUGAACAUCAUCUCCAUGUCGCGGCUUCGUGAACGGAUCUUCAGCAAUUGGGAAGGAUCGUCCUGUAUUAUCUAUCAUGGUUAUUAGCUAGCAAGAGUGAUGCCACAAGUGGAUCUGCCCAGUAAAUUUGUUAAUUACUUCCUUGCAAGAAUGAGUUGAGUUUGGUUUCUAAUCCCUCAAGUCUAUUCAAGAUUGCCCAUUUUUUAGUUACAUACAAAUAUGCACCUUGAUUGCUAUGCAUAAUCACGUAGGUAAUUCCAUCUCUUUUUGUUGAUGCUUUAUCCUGCUUGGAUCAUAUAUGCUUCUGUAUAACACUGAUUGAGGUGGACAAUUAUAAAUUUACUACACGCAUAUAAGCUUUCUAUACAUAGAUAACUAGAGCAUUAUAAAGUAGUGUGUCAUGUUCUAAUUAUAAAUGAAGAGAAAGUUAAGAACUUUGUAAUUACAUAGUAAUCAUGGCUAGAUCGUAGAGGUUAGAGAUGUACAAAUGAUUGAUUAAAAAUAUAUAUUUAUAUUUGCAACAACACAAUGGAUCAUGCCAGGUAAAUAUUUUUGUAGAAUAUAAGUCAGGUUUAGAACUUUUGACCACGACAGGUGAAAAACCAAAGUAAAUCCAUCGUAUAUAUUCAGUAUAAUGUAUAUUUAGAUAUUCAUGGCGCUGCAUAAGCUUAAUUAAGUUCCCUGGGAGCACUAGCUGCUCGUGUAUACAUGUAUUUCUUGAUUCUACUAAGAUGCAGUCAAUCUUUGAAAAUACAGUAAGCACCUGUCAUGAAAUUUAGAACUGGCGUGAUGUGUCUCUAUGUUAAUAACUAUCAUGCUUGCGUAGCUGGUUGAUUUAUUUGAUUAUAAUCAAAUUGGACCGUCAUAAUUUUAAGAUCGUGAUUAUUCAGAUGAAAAAUGAUCAAAGAAAUACUGUACCAAAGUCACAUCUAUUUAGAUCAUGAUUAGGCAUACAAUUGCUCCUUCAAAUUAUUGUGAUAUUGUAGUGCUCUUUAGUAUUAUGUAUUGUGGUGCUGUACCUCCUUUUCUCUUCUUUCCUGGACAUAUACUCUGCACGGGAAGUUACCUAUUGCCCGCUACACCUUUCUAUGAACUUUUGUUAAUAAUCUGCCUAUAAUUAUAAGAAAAAAAAUGCAUGAAUGUAUAUAGCUUUGCACCAGGACACUUUACUUUUUCUAUGACCUGUCAUUUUUGUGAGCUGCAGACGAUUUUGGCAUUGAUGUUCUCAUGCAAGUCAUCUUAUCUUUACAAGCCUACUGAUAGAAUACACUCAAGAUAGGACACCACAUGUCACUCCUAUGUUUAUAAGCUUAUAGAAGCAAACAUUUUCAUUAUCUUUGGCACUUAUAUUGUCAUAAUAUUAACUUGUGCAGCAGAGCUUUAAAAUCAGAAUGGGGCAAUAAAUGUGUCCACUAUGACAAAGUGAAGACAAAACGAAUGCAUCGAGUUACUAAUGCAGUGGUUUUCAAGGUUGGACAUUGAUAUCAACUAUGAUUAUUUAAUAGAGAAAUUCUGUUCAUAUGAAGCGAAAGAAAAGCAUGCAGUACCUUACAUUGACAGUGAUUAUUAGGCCAUUGUGGUACUUCAAAUUCUGAUAAAGAAUAUAUAUCAUGACCAAGAUUUGGGAUUUGGAGAAUCUCAAUUCUGAUAUGUACAUGCAUCUCCUUUUAUUUUGUCACGCUAUUGAAUGUUCUGAUAUGGGACUACUUACUCUGUAUAUCUCUUAUAUAUAAUAAAAUUGUCUAUAUGUAAAGUUUUCCUAUUUUAGUUCUAUUAUGUUGAUGACGAAUGGUUCUGGAAUUUGGAGAUUAACAUUUCAUAAUCUCAUGUGCUAAAUUGGAUGCUACCUUGCUUCCAGCUUUUAUAAUCUCAUGAGCCUGUUGAACUCAAUGAUGUUAUUCUUCUGGACAGAGUAAAUGUUUCUUCUUACUCUUGAACACUAUAAUCGGUUGCUCUGUUACAUGUGUUAAACUUGCCUUCAUACUAAUGCAUCAUGUCGUUUGAUCUUCCACGGCUUACAAUAUCGUUGGGUCCGGCACCCUCGCGCCAAGACGCAUAUUCUUAUUCUUUAUUUGCCAAGACGCACCUUUAUUUGCCAAUAUCGUUGCAGGAUUUAGCUACAGAUAAUCAUUAAUCAACUAAUGUAAUUUCUUUGCCAAGUUGUAGUUAGAGUUAAAUGUGCCACUGGUUAUUUUAUAUCCUUUAUUUAUUCUUAUUCUUCUAAAUGAAAUAGGAGAUUUGUUGGUGCUCCAUUAUCUAAAUAUCACUGACAAAAUGUUAUUCUCAUUUCAGUUGAGAGAAAAGUUGCAUACUUUGUGAACCAAUUGGAGAUUCAUGUUGUUUCCCUAGAUAUUGUGUAGUUAGAGUUGAUGUCACUGUUUAUUUUAUAUCAUUUGUUACUAUUCUUUAAUCGCCAAAUCAUAUAGGAGAUUUUGUUGGUGCCCAAUUAACCAAAUGUUACUGACAAAACUGACAAAAUGUUGUUCUUAUUUCAGUUUGAGCGCAAAUUGCAUGCUAUAUAAACUAACGGGAGAUUUCUGUUGUUACCAGAAUAUUGUAGGAAGGGUGGACUAUGAAGGGAAACACUGGUGUUCUAAGAUAGAUGUUCUGUGUUUGAGAUCUUGCCUUGGUAGCUGGAUGCCUUGGUGCAAGACAUUCAAGGUUGUUUGAUGCGUUCGUGCUCGUCGGCGGGACGGUGCAAGGCGCAACUCCGACACGGUUCCUCGUUGGUUGGACGGCGUUCAGGCGCAACCCCGGCGCGCACUGAGUACUGCCUCGGCUACAGCCUCCCUCGCCAAGAUGAGUGCUCUACUCUUACGGCUCAUGCUAACUGAACUGGUGAUGUUUCUUUCUUCACCUCGAUUGACGCCACAUGUUCCCCCUGGUUGCCGCGUCAUCCUCGUCUUCGGCUUGCAAGGGACUGGAUCUGGUGUGAUUGAUUCUUCCUCUCGCAAGGUAGAGGGACAAAAAUUGAAGAUCCAAAUGAGCGACUCAAAUUCAGGAUUUGAGUUACCAAUGUAGUGUCUACGACUGGCUGAUGGUUCAAGAGUUCGAAGAAAGUCAAGCAGAAGGGAAUACUACACAUGCCCACGCUGCUAUAUGCCAAGGUGCUAGAGGCCACAUAUUGGGCAGGAGCUUUCGUAUGGUGUGCAAGUGCUAGAGGCUACAUAUUGCUGGAAGGUGCUCAAUUCACAUUAGGACAGCCCACCCCCAAGAAGAAAUUAAAACAGAGAUUAUUCACUUUGUGAAGAUCAAUAACAAUGAGGAGUAGAUGCCGGCAGCUGAGGCGUGUUUGUCUGGUACACACGAGCCAAUUUCUCCUGUUAGGGUGGACGACAUGCAAGCAGCCGCGAUGACGGACAGGCCGCUCUCGCACCACCAGACUCCCUUCAGGGUAGUUACCCACGGGCACGUACUUUUGCCGUUUAUUUUUACUUGUGAUUCCGCUCGUUGUGAACGUGGCUCGAUCCAUGUUGUGGCCCAAUUAUUGUUUUUGUUUUGUUUUGAUGGAUCGUCUUGGCUUGCUUUUGGCCUGAAGUUGUUGCCUUGCUUUUGGCACACCUGAUUCCACUACCUUUUGUUGUUGCUUGGACCAGUUUCUAUGUAAUGAACAUAUUUAUAUCAAUGUUGUGCUUCUGUUA